AAGAUUGUGCCACUGCACUCCAGCCUGGGUGACAGAGUGAGACUUUGUCUUAAAAAAAAAAAUCCAUUUUCUGUUGCCCAGUCUCCAACCCAAGCUCCAUUUAAGCCUUCACUCCACUGUCUCUGAACUGGGUGCCCCUGCUUCUCCCAUUGCCUGCCUCCAGCUUUCUUCCUGGAUUCUGGGCUAUGCUACCUCCUUCACACUGUUCCUCCCCUUUCCUAAACCCCCCUUCAAAAGUUCUACUACCUCCAGCCUCCUUGGGGUCCCACUUCCUGCCCUCUCCCCACACCAGAAAAAGACCAUGGAUAAGGGAUUCCUCAUGGUUAUGGAGUUGGUAACUGAGACAGCCAGAGAGGAAGAAGGCUGAGAAGACUGGGCCUGGAGUGGUGCCAGUGUAGAACCCCUGAGGGCUUUGAGCAGAGAGCAUUCCAUGGUGCCAGGGCAGAGCUCUGGAUUGAGGAGUGCAGACCAGAGGCCAUGUGGGCCUGAGGAGGGUGGGGCCCAGCACAUGGUAUAUGUACAGACAUGUUGUUUGAAUGAAUGAAAAUUUUCCCACCUGGGUCUGCUGCCUCCUUCAUGUUUUACCACCUGGUGUCACUUCAGAUUCUGAAACUAUCUGUGGCUCAUCUACUUAGGGAGGACACUGAUGCGGACAUUGCAGAAUAUCAGCUCCAGUUUGCUAAGCUCUGGUCCAUCAGUGUCUAUAUGGGAGGAAAGAGAAGGCAUUGGCAGGGGAUGACCUGGGAAUAAGGGGCUGGCUGGGCAGAAGACAGAAUUCUUGAGGUCCAAGGAGCCACUAAAGGGAAACUGUGACCUCCCUCUCAAUUGCUGUCCAUUUUAGGAAUUGGGGUGUUGAAGGAAACUUGUGUACAAUCCCAACAAAGUGUUAGGGAAGGAGGGCAGCGUGGCAUAGGAGUUCACUUGAGUUUUGGCAUCAGACAGUCUUUGUUCAAAUCCUGGCACAACCGUUUGUUCUCUAUGUGACUUUGUACGAGUUCUUGGCUUAUCUAAACCUCAGUUUUCUAAUAAACACAAUGAAGACAACAAUGGGACUUGUCUCUUAGAAUUGUUGUGAGGAAGCACAGGUAAAAUACUCAAUGUAGUGCCCA
rnacentral:lncRNA from 1 species